GUAAGAUGUAGGUAUAAAAUACCUUCCAUACAAUACAAUAGAAAUCGGUCAAACACAUAAACAAAAAUACUCAGAUAAGUAUUACAACAAAAAUUUACAAUCAAUCAGAAAAAAAAUGGUGAGAAAGGCAUACAUGAAUGCUAACAUUGACUGUGUAAAACAUGCAUCUCGAGCAUCACACGUUUUGCUGAAUUCUCUAUACACACGCUCCAUG